GGCGCCUGACUACCCAGCUCGCUUCUAUCCCUCGAGCGGCAGGAAUCCGUCCCCACGCCCUUUUCCUUUAAAGGGCAACGGGCCGAAGGUGGGGCGGGCGGCGCGGCUCCCGCGAUCCAUUCAGGUCAAAAGGGAGAGUGAUCAAACAGGAGAGCCGAGGGGACCUAUAUUCAGAGACUUAACUGGACACCUGGACAGACCAUUACAACUUGGGACUUUUCAGGAGAAUGAGGGAAAUAUAGUUAUUGCACCUGAGCCUCACUCCAGCUCUGAGGUCCUCUUCACUUCUCUUUGGAAGAAAAUUGGAUAUCUUUUCCUAGUUGAAAGAGUAGAGAUCUGAUUUCUCCAAGGAUCAUCGCUUUUUGACACGGGAUUAUUAGAAGCAUUCAUUCAUCUAUCAAGGAGUUUUGGGAUACUUGCCAUAAGCCAAGCCCUCUGAUAGGUGCUGGAAACAUCAAGGUAAAUAAAAGAGUUCUUCUCCUUGGAGAACAUAUUGGUCUAAUAACUACUUCUGGGGCUCCCUG
rnacentral:antisense_RNA from 1 species